CAGUAGUCGGCGGGGUAACGGCCCACCGAGCUUACGACGGGUAGCCGGCCUGAGAGGGCGACCGGCCACAUUGGGACUGAGAUACGGCCCAGACUCAUACGGGAGGCAGCAGUGGGGAAUAUUGCACAAUGGGCGCAAGCCUGAUGCAGCGACGCCGCGUGCGGGAUGACGGCCUUCGGGUUGUAAACCGCUUUUGAUCGGGAGCAAGCCUUCGGGUGAGUGUACCUUUCGAAUAAGCACCGGCUAACUACGUGCCAGCAGCCGCGGUAAUACGUAGGGUGCAAGCGUUAUCCGGAAUUAUUGGGCGUAAAGGGCUCGUAGGCGGUUCGUCGCGUCCGGUGUGAAAGUCCAUCGCUUAACGGUGGAUCCGCGCCGGGUACGGGCGGGCUUGAGUGCGGUAGGGGAGACUGGAAUUCCCGGUGUAACGGUGGAAUGUGUAGAUAUCGGGAAGAACACCAAUCACUAGUG
rnacentral:rRNA from 1 species